rnacentral:rRNA from 1 species
GGGGAAUAUUGCACAAUGGGCGCAAGCCUGAUGCAGCGACGCCGCGUGAGGGAUGACGGCCUUCGGGUUGUAAACCUCUUUCAGCAGGGAAGAAGCGAAAGUGACGGUACCUGCAGAAGAAGCGCCGGCUAACUACGUGCCAGCAGCCGCGGUAAUACGUAGGGCGCAAGCGUUGUCCGGAAUUAUUGGGCGUAAAGAGCUCGUAGGCGGUCUGUCGCGUCUGCUGUGAAAACCCGAGGCUCAACCUCGGGCCUGCAGUGGGUACGGGCAGACUAGAGUGCGGUAGGGGAGACUGGAAUUCCUGGUGUAGCGGUGGAAUGCGCAGAUAUCAGGAGGAACACCGAUGGCGAAGGCAGGUCUCUGGGCCGCAACUGACGCUGAGGAGCGAAAGCGUGGGGAGCGAAC